CAUUCUUUAAAAUUUUUCAAAUCAUUAAUUUUAACUUUUAAAUUUUCGUCAAAAUAUUAUUUAAAAUUCUAAAACUUUGUUCAAAUAAUUUUAAUUAAAAUUAUAAAAUCUAUUCAAAUAAUUUUAAAGAUAUUUAUAAUUUUUUUAAAAUUUUAUCCAAAUAAUUAUUAAAUUUAAAUUUUUAUCAAGAUAGUUUUAAAUUUUUUUUAAAAAUAAUAUUAAACUUUUAAACCAUGAAACCCCCAAUAAUAAUUAAAAAAAUA
rnacentral:lncRNA from 1 species